GAUGUGUUUGGCAACAGCGUAUGAGCCGUGUAAUCCUCCCUCCAGCCCAGCCUCAGCACGGCGUGUCCCCGCAGAUGCCAAAGGUCACCAGACGCAUGCAGGAUGGAUUGAGGUCUGAGCCAGAGCUGGACACAAAACCUCCAGUGACAGCAUUGGGGUGACAUCACCAGGACAGGGCUGCCAUCAUCUGAAGGUUCGCCUGGGGCUGGAAGGUCUGUCUCCAAGCUCAUCUGCAUGGCUGUUAGUUGGAGGUUCAGUUCCUCUCAACAGGGUGCUUGAAUGUCCUCACAACAUGUCGGCUGGCAUUCUCCAGGGUGAUAAUCCAAAAGAUGCAGGAGGGCACUACAAUGCCUUCGGUGACCCAGCCUUGGGAGUCACACACCAUCACCUCCACCUUACUCCACUAGGUAAACAGACCACAGACGUCACAGAGCAUGAAGACUGGAGGUGAGGCUCAUCAGAGGUCAUCUCAGAAGCUGGCCAAAACAGGGGAAGAGUCCAGAAACAACGCAGGGUGCCCAGCAAAGGUGUUCACUGCUGUUGGCACCGGCAGCUUGACCCCACCAAGGACUGUAUGAAGCACUACAUAGAAGGCAUAGGACAGAGGUCAGAGACUCAUCUACAGACUCACAUUCCCAUCGGUUCAAGAUUGCCCCUGAGAACAUCAGCUCCCUCACAAACUCAGCCUGUACCUGCAGGGGCUGAGCAAGCCCAGAGACAGAAGAGCAGAGGACAGGGCAGGCAGGGUGGAGGCAAUGCCACAGCACAGCACUGCUGGGCCAGGAGGGCUGGGGGAUGCACCAUGGUGCACAAAGCCUCUGGCUUGUGGCAAUGCUGUGGUGAGCGUUCGGGCACAGGGCCCUGUGUCCAUGAGCCCACAUUUCUCUAGGAGGCAUGGGCUAGGGCCCCUCCUGGCAUUCACACCCUUGUGCAAUCUCUCACCUUGUGUGUAAGUGAAACCUAGGGACUUGAUUUGAAUGAACUGAAUACCACAAAAGCCAUGGGAUGUCUUUUCUUCUUUUUUCUUUUUUUUUUUCUUUUUUUUUUUUUUGAGAUAGGGUCUCACUGUGUUGCCUAGGUCGGGUGUGCAGUGUGCAAUCUCAGCUCACCGCAGCCUCAACCCCCCAGGAUCAAGUGAUCCUCUUGCCUCAACCUUCUGAGUAGCUGGGAUUACAGGUGUGUGCACUCAAACCCCCCUAAUUUUUUUUUUUUUUUUUUUUAGAGAUGGGGUCUGGCUAUGUUGCCCAGGCUGAUCUCAAACUCUCGGUCUUAGCUUCCAAAAGGGCUGAGAUUACAGGCUUGAGCCACUGCCCUGGGCUGGGAUGUCACUUCUGAGGUUAGUUCACAAAAGACUGUGACUCCCCUCUCAAUUGGACUCCCCCCACCCGGCAUCCCGCCUUACUUACCCUGGCAAAGCCACUGCCGUGUUGUAAGCUGUCCUCUGGAGAGACCCACUUGGCAAAGGACUGAGGGAGGCCUCUGGCCCCCUGCCUUGGAGGAGCUGAGUCCUACCGACAACCGCCUGAAUGAGCUUAUGAGCAGCUCUGCCCUCAGCUGAGCCAUCAGAUGAGACGGGCCCAGAUUCUUGAUCCACAGGAACUGUUAUUUUGCUAAACUACUAAGAUGCUAAAUGUUGGGGUACUUUUUAAACUAAAUAACACAGGAAGGGUGGAAGUGGGAGAAGGUGCACAUGACGCAAGACUGCCCGUGGGUUGACAAUUGUUGCAACUGGGUGACAUGUUAUACUAUUCUUGCUACUUUGUGUUUAUUCAAAAUUUCCAUGAUAAAAAGUAAAAAUAAAUUUUUUAAAUACUGAAGUAUGAUUUG